rnacentral:rRNA from 1 species
GAGUUUGAUCCUGGCUCAGAACGAACGCUGGCGGCGUGCCUAACACAUGCAAGUCGAACGUGAUCCAGAGCUUGCUCUGGUGAAAGUGGCGCACGGGUGAGUAACGCGUGGAUAACCUACCCUGGUAUCCGGGAUAACAUUCCGAAAGGAGUGCUAAUACCGGAUAAGCCCACGGGCUCUUUGGAGCUUGCGGGAAAAGGUGGCCUCUAUUUAUAAGCUACUGUAUCAGGAUGGGUCCGCGUACCAUUAGCUAGUUGGCGGUGUAACGGACCACCAAGGCGACGAUGGUUAGCUGGUCUGAGAGGAUGAUCAGCCACACUGGAACUGAGACACGGUCCAGACUCCUACGGGAGGCAGCAGUGGGGAAUUUUGCGCAAUGGGGGAAACCCUGACGCAGCAACGCCGCGUGAGUGAUGAAGGCCUUUGGGUCGUAAAGCUCUGUCAGAGGGGAAGAAAUGAUAUAGUGCUAAUACCACUUUAUCUUGACGGUACCCUCAAAGGAAGCACCGGCUAACUCCGUGCCAGCAGCCGCGGUAAUAC